rnacentral:rRNA from 1 species
GAUGAACGCUGGCGGCGUGCUUAACACAUGCAAGUCGAACGAAGAUGAUUGAAAUGAGAGCUUCGGCAGGAAUUUCACUUAUCUUAGUGGCGGACGGGUGAGUAACGUGUGGGCAACCUGCCUUAAUACUGGGGAAUAAUCAUUGGAAACGAUGACUAAUACCGCAUGUCACCUUGGGAGGGCAUCCUCCUAAGGGAAAAGGAUUUAUUCGGUAUAAGAUGGGCCCGCAUCUGAUUAGCUAGUUGGUGAGAUAACAGCCCACAGCGACGAUCAGUAGCCGACCUGAGAGGGUAAUACGGCCACAUUGGGACGUGAGACACGGCCCAAACUCCUACGGGAGGGCAGCAGUGGGGAAGUAUUGCACAAUGGGGGAAACCCCUGAUGCAGCAACGCCGCGUGAAGGAUGAAGGUUUU